GACGAACGCUGGCGGCGUGCUUAACACAUGCAAGUCGAACGGAAAGGCCCUGCUUUUGUGGGGUGCUCGAGUGGCGAACGGGUGAGUAACACGUGAGUAACCUGCCCUUGACUUUGGGAUAACUUCAGGAAACUGGGGCUAAUACCGGAUAGGAGCUCCUGCGGCAUGGUGGGGGUUGGAAAGUUUCGGCGGUUGGGGAUGGACUCGCGGCUUAUCAGCUUGUUGGUGGGGUAGUGGCUUACCAAGGCUUUGACGGGUAGCCGGCCUGAGAGGGUGACCGGCCACAUUGGGACUGAGGUACGGCCCAGACUGCAACGGGAGGCAGCAGUGGGGAAUAUUGCACAAUGGGCGGCAGCCUGAUGCAGCAACGCCGCGUGCGGGAUGACGGCCUUCGGGUUGUAAACCGCUUUCGCCUGUGACGAAGCGUGAGUGACGGUAAUGUGUAAAGAAGCACCGGCUAACUACGUG
rnacentral:rRNA from 1 species